GAUGAACGCUGGCGGCGUGCCUAAUACAUGCAAGUCGAGCGAACAGACGAGGCUCUUGCUCCUUUUACGUUAGCGGCGGACGGGUGAGUAACACGUAGGUAACCUACCUAUAAGACUGGGAUAACUUCGGGAAACCGGAGCUAACACCGGAUAAUAUUUCGAACCGCAUGGUUCUAUAGUGAAAGAUGGCUUUGCUAUCACUUAUAGAUGUACCUUCGCCGUAUUAGCUAGUUGGUAAGGUAACGGCUUACCAAGGCAACGAUACGUAGCCGACCUGAGAGGGUGAUCGGCCACACUGGAACUGAGACACGGUCCAGACUCCUACGGGAGGCAGCAGUAGGGAAUCUUCCGCAAUGGGCGAAAGCCUGACGGAGCAACGCCGCGUGAGUGAUGAAGGUCUUCGGAUCGUAAAACUCUGUUAUUAGGGAAGAACAAACGUGUAAGUAACUGUGCACGUCUUGACGGUACCUAAUCAGAAAGCCACGGCUAACUACGUG
rnacentral:rRNA from 1 species